AUUGAACGCUGGCGGCAGGCCUAACACAUGCAAGUCGAGCGAGCGGCGGACGGGUGAGUAAUGUAUGGGGACUGCCCGAUAGAGGUGGAUAACUACUGGAAACGGUAGCUAAUACCGCAUACUAUCGGAUAACCCAUAUGGGAUUAGCUAGUAGGUGAGGUAAUGGCUCACCUAGGCGACGAUCCCUAGCUGGUCUGAGAGGAUGAUCAGCCAGACGGGGAUUGAGAAACGGCCCAGACACCUACGGAGGCAGCAGUGGGGAAUAUUGAACAAUGGGAGCAAGCCUGAGGCAGCCAUGCCGCGUGUAUGAAGAAGGCCCUAGGGUUGUAAAGUACUUUCAGUCGGGAGGCGUUACCUACAGAAGAAGCACCGGCUAACUCCGUGCCAGCAGCCGCGGUAAUAC
rnacentral:rRNA from 1 species